rnacentral:tRNA from 2 species
AGUCUUGGGGUGUUAUCACGCUAGAUUGCAAAUCUGGAGAAGUAGACGAGAGUCUACCGGGGCUU